rnacentral:lncRNA from 1 species
UUCAGAAUACCUGGCUCUCCUGUCUAGGAGAGCUUAUAUAGUGCCCCCAGCGCUGGGCCAAAGGUUGGUCUAUUGGGCCGGGAUAACCGGCCCAAUAGACUCAACUGCCAAGAUAGUCCCUGUAUCGUAGGGGAAGGCCGUUAUUUGCCUCUAUCUUGGUUGGAGUCGUUCCGCUAUUCGCGGGUAAGGGAUAAGCUCCGUGACAGCUGUGGCUGGAUAAAGGAGCACGUGCUAAACGUGCUGCUUAGCUGUUAAGCUACGGUUGAAUGGAUCAGCAUGCAUGGUUAGACGAGCACGUGUUUAACGUGCUGCCUACCCAUCAUGUCGAGCAAGGCACGUCAUUGGUUGACGUGUCGGGGAAGUCUCCCCUUAUUGGGCUGUGCCCCAAAUGUCGGGCA